CACGAACUGUGCAAACGUUAUUCGGAAUUACUGGGCUUAAAGAGUUCGUAGGCGGCUCGUUAAGUCGGGUGUGAAAUCCCUUGUCUCAACCAAGGAAUUGCGCUCGAAACUGGCGGGCUUGAGUGAGAUAGAGGUGGGCGGAACUGAUGGUGGAGCGGUGAAAUGCGUUGAUAUCAUCAGGAACACCGGUUGCGAAGGCGGCUCACUGGGUCUUUACUGACGCUGAGGAACGAAAGCUAGGGGAGCGAACGGG
rnacentral:rRNA from 1 species